rnacentral:rRNA from 1 species
GCAAGUCGAACGGAAACGAUGGGAGCUUGCUCCCAGGCGUCGAGUGGCGGACGGGUGAGUAAUACUUAGGAAUCUGCCCAUUAGUGGGGGACAACUAGAAGAAAUUCUAGCUAAUACCGCAUACGCCCUACGGGGGAAAGCGGAGGACCUUUCGGGGCUUCGCGCUAAUGGAUGAGCCUAAGUCGGAUUAGCUUGUUGGUGAGGUAAUGGCUCACCAAGGCGACGAUCCCUAGCUGUUCUGAGAGGAUGAUC